rnacentral:rRNA from 1 species
AACGAACGCUGGCGGCAGGCCUAACACAUGCAAGUCGAACGAGAACGCACCUUCGGGUGUUAGUAGAGUGGCGCACGGGUGAGUAACGCGUGGGAACCUACCUUGGGGUACGGAAUAACGUCGGGAAACUGGCGCUAAUACCGUAUACGUCCUCCGGGAGAAAGAUUUAUCGCCCUGGGAUGGGCCCGCGUUAGAUUAGCUAGUUGGUGAGGUAACGGCUCACCAAGGCGACGAUCUAUAGCUGGUCUGAGAGGAUGAUCAGCCACACUGGAACUGAGACACGGUCCAGACUCCUACGGGAGGCAGCAGUGGGGAAUAUUAGGCAAUGGGGGAAACCCUGACCUAGCCAUGCCGCGUGGGUGAAGAAGGUCUUAGGAUUGUAAAGCCCUUUCAGCAGGGAAGAUGAUGACGGUACCUGCAGAAGAAGCCCCGGCUAACUCCGUGCCAGCCGCCGCCGUAACAC